CAGAGGUGGCAAGCGUUGUUCGGAAUUACUGGGCGUAAAGGGCGCGUAGGCGGCCUUCUAAGUCAGACGUGAAAUCCCCCGGCUUAACCUGGGAACUGCGUCUGAUACUGGGAGGCUUGAGUAUGGGAGAGGGAUGUAGAAUUCCAGGUGUAGCGGUGAAAUGCGUAGAUAUCUGGAGGAAUACCGGUGGCGAAGGCGGCAUCCUGGACCAUUACUGACGCUGAGGCGCGAAAGCUAGGGGAGCAAACGGGAUUAGAUACCCCGGUAGUCCUAGCCCUAAACGAUGAAUACUUGGUGUGGCGGGUAUCGAUCCCUGCCGUGCCGAAGCUAACGCAUUAAGUAUUCCGCCUGGGGAGUACGGUCGCAAGGCUG
rnacentral:rRNA from 1 species